rnacentral:lncRNA from 1 species
CAUAAGUUAAACACAUUACGGUAAACAAGUCAAGUUUAUUCCCAAAAGAAAGUAACUAUAGUUUCGUUAGAACCGAUGUCCUACCUCCGGCUUCUUAGUUACCUGAGAAUACACAUUUUUAAAAUACGUCAACAAAAAUUAUUGGUGAGUUCCACAGGUUUUGACUUCGUGAGUUUUAUAAAAAUAUUUUUUUAUAAAACGUGGAAUGUUUAACAAAAUAAGUUGUGCGAAACAUGGUCAACAAUGUCACCGAUAUGCUUCGUGUGAGACCCGAUACUUGAAAUCCGACACAAGUAUCCAUGUAAAAAUAUUUAAGAUAAAAGUAAAUAUUAACAUAUUUUUGUGAAGCAAAAUAUUAAGUAUUUAUAUAAAUAAAUACUACCAAUCGGUUUAACAAUCUACAAACAAUAUUUAAACUACAUACUCCCUUUAUAAAACGUGAAAUGUUUAACAAAAUAAGUUGGGCAAAACAUGGUUAACAAUGUUACUGAGACUGGAUAUUUGAAAUCUAAUACGAGUAUCCAUGUUAAAAUACUUAUAAUAAAAGUAAAUAUUAACAAAUUUUUGUGGAGCAAAAUAUUAACUAUUUAUAUAAAUAAAUACUACCAAUCGUUUAACAAUCUACAAACAAUAUUUAAACUACAUUCUCUCUUUAUAAAAUAUGGAAUGUUUAACAAAAUAAGUUGGACAAAACAUGGUCAACAAUGUUUCUGAUAUGCUUCGUGUAAGACCCAGUACUUCAAAUCCAAUACGAGUUUCCAUGUUAAAAUACUUAUGAUAAAAUUAAAUAUUAACAUAUUUUUGUGAAGCAAAAUAUUUAGUGUUUGUAUAAAUAGACACUAACAAUAUGUUUAACAAUUUACAAACAAUAUUUAUACUACAUACACUCUUUAUAAAACAUGGAAUAUUUAACAAAAUAAGUUGGACAAAACAUGGUCAACAAUGUUUCCGAUAUUAUUCGUGUAAGACCCAGUACUUGAAAUCCAAUACGAGUAUCCAUGCUAACAUACUUAUGAUAAAAGUAAAUCUUAACAUAUUUUUGUGAAGCAAAAUAUUUAAUGUUUGUAUAAAUAGACACUAACAGUCGGUUUAAUAAUCUACAAACAAUAUUUAUACUACAUACAAACUCAUUAUAGUUUGUAUUAGUAUAUUUGUAUCCGGGAUGUUGUUAUAAUUCCCAAUUGUUUGUGUUUGAAGACUUUUGGUUGUAAUGCAUAAUAAUGUAAAGCUACGAAAAUUCUAUCGGGACAACGGUCGUAUGUGCCCCUAUACGAUCGGGACAAUGGUCGUAUGUGUCCCAAUACGAGUUUAAACAGUACAUCGACUGUAAGUGACCGUAUACAUGUUUAGACAGUACUCCGACUGUAGGUGACCAUAAUAAUUGUUUAGACAGUACUCCGACUAUAAGUGACCAACAAAGUUUAUACAGCACCCGAGUUGUGAGUGACAUCGACAUAGUUCAAAUCAUCUUAUGUUAUAAGGUUGUCAACAUGAUUAUAUUAGUAAUACUUGUUAUAAUUUACACUUUUGUAACUCUUAAAGUAUGUGUGAAUUAAACAAUGUCAUUAUUUGUGUAUUUCUCAUUUACCACAAAACUUUAUAUUUAUAUUUGAAAAACCAAACAACAAGGUUUAUCAAAAGGGCAAUUUUGUCCGUGUUUUUAGAAAAUCAUAGAAAAAUCAUCGUAAGUCAAAAUCAGGAUUAGUAAACUCUCAAAGUUUAUAAAAUGAGUCUACUUUGUCCAUAAUUUUUACCCUGACCUUAAGUGGUUCCUAACUAGAGUGAAAAUGUUCAUUUUUACAUACUGGUCCGAAAAUGUUCUGAAAUGAUAGGCAGUUUUGUAAAAAUCAUUAUAAAUUGUAGAAAAAUCAUAUGAACGCGUACAAGUAUUCCUUGAAAAGUUAUAAACCUGAAAUAUUACCAUAUUGUACAGUUUUGAAAUCCUUUAAGUUUAAGAAGGGCAAAAUUGUCCAUGAACAGACCAUAACUUUUCUAUGAAAAGCUGAAAUUUAAGUUUAGAUAUGUUUAGUUACAUAACUUGCAUUUUUAGUUAGCAAAGCCUUUAAAUCUUUCAAUUAUAAUUUGUUUAGUGUGUAUUCUCCUCCAAAACUUUUUAAAACAUAAAAGAGGGGCCGUAGAAAACUCACUUUUGUCGCGUAGAGUUAUUCGGGUUGAGAAUGGUUCGUGCGGUUUCCGGUUCCACUCAAGUUUGUGAUUCGAGUAUUCUUUUGGAUGUCUUAACACAUAAAGACAUAUAUUUACAUGUGUGUUAGACUUUUAUCAUGUCUUAAAUCAUUUAAAAUCAUUGGGUUUGAUGAUAAAAAGAAAGAGUAGAAAUCAAGAAUAUACCUAGCUUCAACUUGGAUCAAAAGUAUGUUGCCAAAAGGUGGUGGAAUAACACAAGCUUUUUGAGAGGUAAAGGUUAACUUUCUCAGGGGUUUUAAGUGUUUCAAAGUAGCUACAUAUGAUAUACUUUAAAUCUCGAAAAUUGGCUGAAAGAUGAAGAACUUUUGGGUGUUUGUUUGAUGCUCCAAAACAGCCAUUGUUUUGGCUAUGUUGUUGUCCCGAAAACUUCACAGCAAAAGGGUAAGAAAAAGAUAGUUUACUCACUGUUUUGAAUAUCUAAUUUUUAGUAGCAUAACAACUAACUUCCAUGAGUAUUUGGUGGUGAAAAUAUCAAGCAAAAGGAAGGUGUAGAUGGGUGAAAUGGUGGCUGAAACACCAAAGGACAGCAGCCCCUUUAAGGUUCACGGUUUUGAGGAGUUGGAAGGAAAUUUGUGUGGCUGAAAAUGGGAUGAACUUUGAAAGCAUUUCCAUGGAGU